UAGUGGCGAACGGGUGAGUAACGCGUAAGCAACCUGCCCCUAAGUAGGGGAUAACUUUGAGAAAUUGGAGCUAAUACCUUAUGUGGUGAUGGGGGUAAUGCUUCAUCAUUAAAGCCUUAGGGUGCCUAGGGAGGGGCUUGCGUCCGAUUAGCUAGUUGGUAGGGUAACGGUUUACCAAGGCGAUGAUCGGUAGCUGGUUUGAGAGGACGGUCAGCCACACUGGGACUGAGAUACGGCCCAGACUCCUACGGGAGGCAGCAGCAAGGGAUAUUGUGCAAUGGGCGAAAGCCUGACACAGCGACGCCGCGUGGGGGAUGAAGGCCUUCGGGUUGUAAACCCCUUUUCUCAGGGAAGAAUAAUGACGGUACCUGAGGAAUAAGUCUUGGCUAACUACGUGCCAGCAGCCGCGGUAAUACGUAGGAGGCGAGCGUUAUCCGGAUUUACUGGGCGUAAAGAGGGCGUAGGCGGUUCUUCAAGUCGGAUGUAAAAUCUCCCGGCUCAACUGGGAGGGAUCAUUCGAUACUGCUGGGCUGGAGGGUAGCAGAGGGAGGUGGAAUUCCCGGUGUAGUGGUGAAAUGCGUAGAUAUCGGGAGGAACACCAGUGGCGAAGGCGGCCUCCUGGGCUAUUUCUGACGCUGAGGCCCAAAAGCGUGGGGAGCGAACAGGAUUAGAUACCCUGGUAGUCCACGCUGUAAACUAUGGACACUAGGUAUGGGGAGUAUCGACCCUCUCCGUGCCGAAGCUAACGCU
rnacentral:rRNA from 1 species